rnacentral:rRNA from 1 species
UACAGAGGGUGCGAGCGUUAAUCGGAAUUACUGGGCGUAAAGCGUGCGUAGACGGUUAUUUAAGUCGGGUGUGAAAGCCCCGGGCUCAACCUGGGAAUUGCAUUCGAGACUGAAUAGCUAGGGUACGGUAGAGGGAAGCGGAAUUUCCGGUGUAGCGGUGAAAUGCGCAGAUAUCAGGAGGAACACCGGUGGCGAAGGCGGUUCUCUGGGCAUGUCCUGACGCUGAGGAGCGAAAGUGUGGGGAGCGAACAGG